AUGGAUCCCCCAAAAUGCUACACGCUGUUCCUUUAAUCCAUUGAUAUAACUUCAGACUGGAACGGUGUCCUGCAGGACUCCCCGGCAGUUAACGAGCCACACCUGCUGUCAGGUAUAGGCAGACCAGGUGUGCUUCGUUAACCACCAGCGAGGACCAUAAAGGUGCAGGACUUCGGUCCAAAACAACAGUGAUUCUUUACAAUCCAGUGAGUUAACAGUGUUUGAACAACAACGGGCUGAACUGAUGCAGCCGGCCGGGCCUUUUAGUGCAUGUUCCUGCAUGUGAGCGUGCCCCACUGACUAGCUCACGGCCACCGCUCUGCACCGCUCUCAAAUGGUGAUUACAGCUGAUAACGCCAUCUUGACAAACGGCAUCGUCGUGGAAGCGUAGCGCCCACCCUCCGGUUCCUCCUCAGGUCACAGGCAGUGGCGCACUUCAUCUGGGGCAGAACUUCAGCCACCAACACGCAGCAGCACAGAUGGUGGGGAUGCCUCAGCUCAGCAAUGCUGAAAACACACACACACACACACGCACGCACACAUGUACGCACGCACCACCCCACUCUGAAAAGCUUUAACAUCUGCAAUGACUUUUUUUUUGCAGAUAUCGAUGAGAAGCAGCUGAUUGUCGUCAGAGCGUGUGUGAUCACAUGCUUGUAUUACAUGAUAACCCGCAUUGAUCACCUAUACUGUAAAGGAGGUGCACCAUCACGACCAAGCGCGCACACAGUGGGGGUGAUGAUGAUGAUGAUGGCGCAUACGUGCAUGACUGCCACCAACCACCAACAAACAGCAUGUGGCCUAAUAAUAACAACCACUAGAUACUGUAGCUCCACCGCAGAGCAGACCUCAGCAAGAAAACAUCAAUCCAGGCAUGAUAAAUACAUAUUACUAUCAUGUGAUACAUGUUGUUGUUGUAAUACAUGCUGCAACCAUAUUCUUAUAUUAUGAUAUUACUGGCAUGAUAAAUGCAUAUCAUGUAAUACAUGUUGUUGUAAUACAUGCUGCAACCAUUAUUCUUCUAUUGUGAUAUUACAGACAUGAUAAAUAUAUAUCAUGUAAUGAAAGUUGUUGUAAUACAUGCUACAACCAUAUUAUUGUAUUGUGAUAUUACAGGCAUGAUAAAUACAUAUCAUGUAAUGCAUGUUGUUGUUAUAAAUGCUACAACCAUUAUUCUUUUAUUGUGAUAUUACAGGCAUGAUAAAUACAUAUCAUGUAAUGAAAGUUGUUGUAAUACAUGCUACAACCAUAUUAUUGUAUUGUGAUAUUACAGGCAUGAUAAAUACAUAUCAUGUAAUGCAUGUUGUUGUUGUAAUACAUGCGACAACCAUUAUUCUUUUAUUAUGAUAUUAUAGCACGUGUGAAAAGUUGCCUCAGGUUAAAAAGUAGGCUAUUGCAUGAGCUGUAGCUUGCAUCACUGUAUAAUAAAGGCUGGAAUAAGCUUCA